UUUCAUUACAAUUAAAUGUCUUCAAACUUGUAUCCUGGUUUUUUUCUGUUGGCCCUCUAGUAGAGAUCACAUUUGAUAUUGUCACUGAACUGUAUAAUAAAUCUCCACAGCCAACGUAUCGCACAUUUACUUGUCAUUCAUAAUGCUCAAUUUAAAAUGACUUGCUUUGUCUCGUUAGUGAAUAGGAAUUAAGAUUUUAAGAACAUUUUUUAAGCAGCUAUCAACACCUAGUUAUGUCCUAAUAUGUAUGGAAUCUAUUGAAUGUGUUUGUGUACUUCUAUCUAGAUGAGACAUUAUGUCGCUGAUAUUAGAUUUUGCUUCAUUAAGUAUUCAGCUUGUUGCCAGCAUUAUGCAACUCUUGAUAUUGUGCUUUCAACUAAAACAUAGCCCUGACUUACAUUGAGUUGUUAUGAAGGACAGACUGGCUUAUAGUUACAUCAUCUCAGCAGCUAUCUCUCUCAUCAGCAAAUAAUAUUUUCCUAUCGAGUAGGAUGUAUAUCAAACAUGGAACCUUUUUUUUUUUUUAAAUCAGGACUCAUGUUUUAAAGUUCAUCCUUCAAAAUGAAAAUGAAUGAAAGAAUGAGAAAUAUUCAUUAAAAUUUGGAUUGGAUUCGUUUUUGUUUCGGUUGUUGUUUUGCUUCUCACAGUGAAAGAAAAAACCUUUAGUUUAUGUAAAUUUAAACAAAAUUCUUAAAUGUAAUUAAAAGUAAUUUUUUUUUCCUAGGAAGUUUAUGUUUUUAAUUAAUGGAAAUCCACAAUUAUAAAUUUUUAUACAUAUCUUUUUGAUAUUUUAUAGACUUGAAAUUUGUAGAGUCAUGGCUUGUUAGACCAUGGUGUACUUUUGUAUCUAGUUUUGGCUGAAACCAGAAGAUACGACACUGUUAUAACUAAACGGCAAUGCUUGAGAUCACCCCCCCCCCC